rnacentral:rRNA from 1 species
GAUGAACGCUGGCGGCGUGCCUAAUACAUGCAAGUCGAGCGAACAGACGAGGAGCUUGCUCCUCUGACGUUAGCGGCGGACGGGUGAGUAACACGUGGAUAACCUACCUAUAAGACUGGGAUAACUUCGGGAAACCGGAGCUAAUACCGGAUAAUAUAUUGAACCGCAUGGUUCAAUAGUGAAAGACGGUUUUGCUGUCACUUAUAGAUGGAUCCGCGCCGCAUUAGCUAGUUGGUAAGGUAACGGCUUACCAAGGCAACGAUGCGUAGCCGACCUGAGAGGGUGAUCGGCCACACUGGAACGGAGACACGGUCCAGACUCCUACGGGAGGCAGCAGUAUGGAAUCUUCCGCAAUGGGCGAAAGCCUGACGGAGCAACGCCGCGUGAGUGAUGAAGGUCUUCGGAUCGUAAAACUCUGUUAUUAGGGAAGAACAACUGUGUAAGUAACUAUGCACGUCUUGACGGUACCUAAUCAGAAAGCCACGGCUAACUACGUG